AUUUUAUAGUAAUCGAUUCUGAUUUAUAUAUAUUUAUCGGUCAAUCUCCAAUAUUUUUAUAUUUUCCAUUCGGUUAGGCUUUUGUUAGAUUACCUAGUAGAAAAAAAAAAACCAUAAUUUAGCAAUUGAACGUCCGUAAUUCUUCGGGUGUAGUUGAUUUUAUUAAUUUUGUGAACUGUAAAGCUUUUAUUUAGUCUCUGUUUCUUGCUUGUCAAUACACACUUGUUUAAUGAUACGGACUAUAAGUAUUCGAUUCGUAUGUAUUGCGUCAAAAUAAACAAGUGGAGUAGCAGUGUUGAAAUUUUUUUAAUUAUUUUUUUGAGAAUAGCAGUGUUUAAAGGUUUUUAAAUCAUAGCAAUCUCGAAUUUGAUAUUUCUACCGUCGUUACCACCCCAAUCUCCAAUGGAAAAAAAAAGAAUUCAGCCUUUAGGAGAGAAAAGGACAAGACUAGUUAAAAUUCCUUCUGGGUUUGGGUUUAUCAAAUAAUCUCGAGAAAAGUUUGAUGGGCUGGCUUAAGAGAGCAAUAGCACACAAGGCCCAUGAUACAUAUUUCGUAGAAGUGAAGUGGAUCUGCUGGUUUCUACUGAUUGCACUGUUUGCAUUCAAUGAAGACGAAGUCGGAGACCUGCAGGCGUGCCCCUUUACAGAUUUGUACAUCAUAAAUAUGGAGGAUGACAAGUCACUUAGCUCCUUUGAUAUAUAACUUGGGAGGCCAUUCCUUGGCACUGCUAGUACUAAAAUAGAUGUUCGCAAUGACACUCUCCAUGGAGUUCGACAUUGAAAUUGUGAAAUUUAACUUUGAAGCAAAGAACCAUCGUAUUAGAGUGUUAAAUAUUUGCAAUGUUGACAUUAUUAAUUCUAUACCUCACUCAAGAAAUUUCUGACUUAUUUUGCAGUGACGAGUUGGAAACAGUACUUUGCAAAAGAAUUGAUAGAGUUAUUGUAAUACCUUUCGCCUGAACUUUUGAGUUAUGAGAUGUUAUAGUUGUUGCUGAAAUAACUAUCGUCGAAUAUACUGUAAUUAAAUCAUUUAAGCAAACAUUAAGUUUUAAACACA